UCGCGCGCGAUCCCUAUCUAGCUACGAUUCCCUUCAUCAUCACCCUGCCCCAAAUCAGAGAAGACCACCCACAGCGUCACUGCUCACGACGUCACCGCUCACGGCAUCACCGCUCACGGCGUCACCAUCUCCACCACUCACCUUCAUCACUCACCACUCACCACUUACCACGCCGCCACUCAUCUUCAACGCCGGUUCUCUUCGCUGGGCGUUGACAUCAGGAAGACUCUUCACUCGACUGAAAGCCUGUCUUUAUUCGCUCACCAUCGUCAAGGAGGAGAACUUAUAAUUUGCGGGUUUCAUUCCGUUAUUGUUUAGGCGCAGCAGAACUCGUGAAUUUGGGAUUGUUGUGGCGCAGGAGAACUCGUGAAUUUGGUAUUGGGGUUUCUCCGUUUACGCAGAUUGAAGUUUUUGGUUAAAGCUCCCAAGUGGAUUUUGUCAAAACGUUGAUCGUGUCAUGGCAAGGUAUUUUCUGACUGAAAUUGAGGGUCCUGAGCAAAAAUCUGAUCCAGAGACUGAAAAGGACUGCAGAUGCUGUUGGAUUCUGACCUCCCUGCACUCGAAGUGGAUUUUCUGGAGCUACAGAAGCUCAAUUGGCGCGCUCUCAACGGCAUUGGAAAGUAGACAUCCUGGGCUUUCCAACAAUAUAUAAUAGUCCAUACUUUGCCCAAGAUUUGAUGGCCCAAACCGGCGCUCAAAGUCACCUACAGAAUUUCCAGCGUUAAACGCCGGAACUGGCAUAAAAUUUGGAGUUAAACGCCCAAACUGGCAUGGAAGCUGGCGUUUAACUCCAGAAAAGGUCUCUACACGAAAUUCCUUCAUUGCUCAGCCCAAGCACACACCAAGUGGGCCCGGAAGUGGAUUUUUCUGUCAUUUACUCAUUUCUGUAAACCUUAGGACACUAGUUUACUAUUUAUAGGAUCUUUUGACAUUGUAUCCGUACCUAAUGACCUCAUAACAUUUUGUACACAUUUCUUUCCACAGUAUGAGUCUCUAAACCCCAUGGUUGGGGGUGAGGAGCUCUGCUGUGUCUUGAUGGAUUAAUGCAAUUACUACUGUUUCUUAUUCAAUCAUGCUUGCUUCCAUUCUAAGAUAACACUUGUUCUUAAUCCGGAUGAAUGUGAUGAUCCGUGACAAUCAUCAUCAUUCUCAACUAUGAACAUGUGCCUGACAACCACCUCUGUUCUAUCUUAGAUUGAGUAGUUAUCUCUUGGGUUCUUUAAUCGGAAUCUUCGUGGUAUAGGCUGGACCUGAUGGCAGCAUUCAAGAGAAUCCGGAAGGUCUAAACCUUGUCUGUGGUAUUCUGAGUAGGAUUCAAUGAUUGAAUGACUGUGACGUGCUUCAAACCUGUAACCUACUGGGCGUCAGUGACAGACGCAAAAGAGGGAUUCUAUUCCGGUAGGGGAGGGAACCAAACCGGUGAUUGGCAGUACUGUGACAGAGUGCGUGCAUUAGCUUUCACUGCGCGGAUGGGAGGUAGCCAUUGACAACGGUGAGACCCUACACGAGCUUGCCAUGGAAGGAGACUUGCGUGUUUGAUGAAGAAGACAGUGGGAAAGCAGAGAUUCAGAAGACGGAGCAUCUCCAAAACCUCAACCUAUUCUCCAUUACUGCAAUACAAGUAAUCAUUUCAUGUUCUUUUGCUUUUCACAAUCAAUCCUGAUAAUUUCUGAUCUCCUGACUAAGAUUUACAAGAUAACCAUAGCUUGCUUCA